rnacentral:rRNA from 1 species
GAUGAACGCUGGCGGCGUGCCUAAUACAUGCAAGUCGAGCGAACGGACGAGAAGCUUGCUUUUCUGAUGUUAGCGGCGGACGGGUGAGUAACACGUGGAUAACCUACCUAUAAGACUGGGAUAACUUCGGGAAACCGGAGCUAAUACCGGAUAAUAUUUUGAACCGCAUGGUUCAAAAGUGAAAGACGGUCUUGCUGUCACUUAUAGAUGGAUCCGCGCUGCAUUAGCUAGUUGGUAAGGUAACGGCUUACCAAGGCAACGAUGCAUAGCCGACCUGAGAGGGUGACUCGCCCCCCUGGGAAUUGGGCCCCGUCCCAGCCCCCCAGGGGAGGAGGAAGUGGGAAUCCUUCGGAAUUGGCCGAAACCUUACGGAACAACCCCGGCUGGGUUAUUGAGGUUUUCCGGUCCGUAAACCUUUGUAUUAGGGAAGAACAUAUGUGUAAGUAACUGUGCACAUCUUGACGGUACCUAAUCAGAAAGCCACGGCUAACUACGUG